rnacentral:rRNA from 1 species
AGUGAACGCUGGCGGUAGGCCUAACACAUGCAAGUCGAACGGCAGCACAGUAAGAGCUUGCUCUUACGGGUGGCGAGUGGCGGACGGGUGAGGAAUACAUCGGAAUCUACUUUUUCGUGGGGGAUAACGUAGGGAAACUUACGCUAAUACCGCAUACGACCUACGGGUGAAAGCAGGGGAUCUUCGGACCUUGCGCGAUUGAAUGAGCCGAUGUCGGAUUAGCUAGUUGGCGGGGUAAAGGCCCACCAAGGCGACGAUCCGUAGCUGGUCUGAGAGGAUGAUCAGCCACACUGGAACUGAGACACGGUCCAGAAUCCUAAGGGAGGCAGCAGUGGGGAAUAUUGGACAAUGGGUGCAAGCCUGAUCCAGCCAUACCGCGUGGGUGAAGAAGGCCUUCGGGUUGUAAAGCCCUUUUGUUGGGAAAGAAAAGCAGCAGGUUAAUACCCCGCUGUUCUGACGGUACCCAAAGAAUAAGCACCGGCUAACUUCGUG